rnacentral:rRNA from 1 species
UACGGGAGGCAGCAGUGAGGAAUAUUGGUCAAUGGGUGCAAGCCUGAACCAGCCAUCCCGCGUGAAGGACGACUGCCCUAUGGGUUGUAAACUUCUUUUGUAUAGGGAUAAACCUACCCUCGUGAGGGUAGCUGAAGGUACUAUACGAAUAAGCACCGGCUAACUCCGUGCCAGCAGCCGCGGUAAUACGGAGGGUGCAAGCGUUAUCCGGAUUUAUUGGGUUUAAAAGGGUCCGUAGGCGGACUUAUAAGUCAGUGGUGAAAGCCUGUCGCUUAACGAUAGAACUGCCAUUGAUACUGUAAGUCUUGAGUAUAUUUUGAGGUAGCUGGAAUAAGUAGUGUAGCGGUGAAAUGCAUAGAUAUUACUUAGAACACCAAUUGCGAAGGCAGGUUACCAAGAUAUAAACUGACGCUGAGGGGACGAAAGCGUGGGGAGCGAACAGGGAUUAGAUACC